CAACAUUUGGUUUCCAGUGGCUCGAUCGUGAUGUGCAGCUGGGCGAUAACUUGAAGGAUGAGCUUCAGACGCAGGUCAAAGAAACUAUAAAGGCAGAGGGUGAGAAGCAAGCUGUAAAAACCGCGAUGCAGAUAAGACAGGACCAACGGAAGAUGAUGCUCCAGGGUCUCCACCAGAAAAGCAGCUGAGACUGUUCUCCCACUACAUGAGGACUCCCUCUUCUGCCAAGAAGAAGCUGUCAGUCCAGGCUCAGUUAAAUGCAUACCUGGACUGGAUUGCUGAACAGAUCUCUGACCCACUCUCAUGCCUCUGGUUUUGGCAACAGAACAAAAAUAAAUUCCCUUCCCUUUA